AUUGAACGCUGGCGGCAUGCCUUACACAUGCAAGUCGAACGGCAGCACGGGAGCAAUCCUGGUGGCGAGUGGCGAACGGGUGAGUAAUACAUCGGAACGUGCCCAGUAGUGGGGGAUAGCCCGGCGAAAGCCGGAUUAAUACCGCAUACGACCUACGGGUGAAAGCGGGGGAUCGCAAGACCUCGCGCUAUUGGAGCGGCCGAUGUCAGAUUAGGUAGUUGGUGAGGUAAAGGCUCACCAAGCCUUCGAUCUGUAGCUGGUCUGAGAGGACGACCAGCCACACUGGGACUGAGACACGGCCCAGACUCCUACGGGAGGCAGCAGUGGGGAAUUUUGGACAAUGGGCGCAAGCCUGAUCCAGCCAUGCCGCGUGCGGGAAGAAGGCCUUCGGGUUGUAAACCGCUUUUGUCAGGGAAGAAACGCUCUGGGCUAAUACCCCGGAGUAAUGACGGUACCUGAAGAAUAAGCACCGGCUAACUACGUGCCAGCAGCCGCGGUAAUACGUAGGGUGCAAGCGUUAAUCGGAAUUACUGGGCGUAAAGCGUGCGCAGGCGGUCAUGCAAGACAGAUGUGAAAUCCCCGGGCUUAACCUGGGAACUGCAUUUGUGACUGCAUGGCUUGAGUGCGGCAGAGGGGGAUGGAAUUCCGCGUGUAGCAGUGAAAUGCGUAGAUAUGCGGAGGAACACCGAUGGCGAAGGCAAU
rnacentral:rRNA from 1 species